GGCUGUUCCCCUGAAGGAGGGAGGAGGGAGGGAGCACAGAGAUGCUGGGAGCGAAUUGGGAGGGAAAUGGCAGCGACGCGAGUGCCAGAUGGUCCCGGUUUGGGGUUGAUCUGCGGGGUGCAGCUCCCUGGCCCGUGUGUAAGUGGCCAGGGGAGGCACGGAGUCUGGGGCUAUAAGUUGUGGCAGGAAGGCAGGUCCCGGUUUUGGGGAUCUGGAGCUUAUCUUUUUCCUGUGAGCUGGGUGUGGGUGGCACCUAUGGGUGGUGCCCUGGACCUGUGGUCUGGUGGAGCCCAGGCCUCCCAGGGACAUCAGGGCAGCCAGGGCUAGAGGAGCCUGAGGGGCCAGGUCAGGGUGGACCUGAGCCACUGCCUCCACCUGUGACCAGCACUGCUGCGGGGAUCUGGGCAUGAGACCCCUUCACCCAGGAGGGGAGGCACGUGAGUGAGACCCUAAUUCCAUACCCCAUGGGGGGCUCUGACCCUCCUGCAGAGGACCUCGACAGGGCUGGGUGGCUGUGUGCAGGUGGUGGAUGGGGAGCCCAGACCCUCCCAGACACAGCCUGCUCUGCUCCAGAAUGUGGGCUUGGACCCUGCAGGCUGCCUGGGCCUGGGCUGCCUGGGGUGCCUGUGGUGGCUGCAUUCCCACGGCCAGGACUGAGGUCCAGUGGGGACCGGGGAGGAGUCUGGAGGCGGCUCCGUGGAGGACCUGCCUUGGAUGACACCUCUAUCUUGGGAAGGACAUGGGGUCCAGCUGGGAGGAAGGGGAGGAGGCCACCUGGGGGUCUUCCACCCCCACCACCGCAGCCUGGGGGCUCUGUGCUUGGCAACCUGCCAGAAGUUCCUCCCUGCCCAGACCCCAGAGUCUGCUGCACCAGGGCAGGGAGGAAGGGCCUGUGGCCUGGUCGAGGUUGGGGCCACAGUGGUGUUCCCUAGGCCCGAGUCUGCUUCAUGUGCUCGCCCCGCAGCAGGCCCUGAGUGAGGGACAGAGACAGGGGCGGGGUCUUUGGUCCUGGUGGCCUCUGGGGCGGAUUCCAGUGGGGAGUCAUCGGGGUUGGGGUCCCCCAGGGUACUGGGGUGAAUGAGCUCCUGGAGUCGGCUCUGGAUGUGGGGUUUGUGCCUGUGCUGCCUGGGGUUGAUGUUGGGAGGUGCCGGUGACCCCUGUUUCCCUGAGGGACUGUUGGUGGUGGUAGGACCCAGUUCUGGCCAGGGGCACUGGGGCCAGGGCAGUAGGAUGGGGUCCAGCCCCUUCCCUGACCCCCCGGAGCCCCGGUCCCCAUGCUCACCGUUCAGUGGGGACUGUGUUGUGCUCCGGGUGCCGGGGGUCAUGCGAGCUGGGUAGGACCCAGGUUCAGGUGGCUGCUCCCCUCUCUGGCUGGGCCUCCGGCAGUGGCCACGGGACAGUUUUGGACACAGCUUUUCUCAUAGUGGUUGUUCCAGCUAUACCCACCGUGACUCGGGGCCGUUCAGAGUCCAACCAGGCUCCUUGAGCUCUGGGCCUCCGGGGUGGGGGCUGGGCUGCUGGGCGGGGUCUCCUUCGGGGGCUCUGAGGCUGUGGCUCGUUUUAGGUGUGGGGUGACGAAUGGGAGCCCAGCUAGCCGAACACCCACGGAGACCGGGGCCUGCACACAUUCUGCCCUGGUGUAUGGGUGUCCCAGGCCCCUCUGGGCAGGUCGGCCUCAGCGGGGAGGGUGGUUGGGUCCUGCUUGUUUUCCUUUGGGUUAAUGGGAUUCAUCUCCUGGCCGCAGACCCCCUUAGGCUGCCCCUGUCCCUCCAGCAAUGCAAGACAUGGCAGGUCACCCUGGAGGGAGGCAUGUUCUGCCCUGGGUGUCGGGUGUGGCACCUCAGAUCCUCCUGCGUGCUCUGGGUUGAGCAGGAUGGCAGACGACCCAGGGCCCCCACCCUGUCUGAGGACAUUUUUGCUGCAGCAACUGUGGGAGCUGACAGUGUUCACGGCCACGCCACGGUCAUCAUCGUAGUCAAGGCUUUCUAAGAAUUUCAUUGUGACAAAGCCUCCUAUGAAAUGGGGCCACGUCCUGCUUCCUGAGGGUUGCUGGUGAGUCCCGGAUUUCCCGCAGAGGCGGGCGGGAGACUGUGGGGAGAGGGCCUGUGUCUUGUCUUCCUUGGGCCGUGGGACAGGAUGGAGGCUGAGGGCAUCUUUCCCAGGGGAUCACAGAACUGCACCUCUGCUGUGGAGGGGCAUCCAGCAUGUGGGCCUGGGCUGUGGGGUGCAGGGCAGGAGGGGGCAGGCACGGGAGGGGUGUGGCCCAGUCAUUCCUGCAUUCACAAUCUUUCUUGAGCUGGGCACCUGCACUAGACCCCGGCCUGGAGGGGGCGGCUUCCUAGCCUGCAACGUCCCUGUCGUCUGCUCUGGCUCUGGAGCUGGGGACAGGAGCCAGGCAGGAGGUCAGCAGCCUCCUAGGACAGUAGGAGGGCCCAGGCCAGUGCCUAGCCGACUUCCCCAGGAGAGGGGUCCCAGGGAUGGGGAGAUAAUGAUUUCUAGAAGGGUCUGUGUCUCUGAGUGUGCAAAUUUGUCCAAACUGUCCACCAGGUGUGGUCAGGUAAACGCAGGCAGACUUGAGUUCAGGCAGAGGAAACUGAGUUUUGUCAUUCACUCCCCACCGACUCUAGGGGAAUGAGCCAAGCUCCAUUAUCAUCUGUGCGGAAGCGACAGCCUUGUAAAGGGAGGUGGUACAGGAAGCAGGGAGAGUGCUCGGGGGCCAGUCAUCAGCGAAGGGAAAAGUUGCCCAGUGCUGGUCAGUGUCCCUGGGAUGGGGCCCGCUGUGUCCGCGCUGGCCACUGUUGAGGUCAGGAUUCUGUCCUCCCAGAGCCUGGAGACACCGGCCCCAUCUUCCCAAUGGGGACAUUUCAGGGAGUGGCUCUCAGGUCCCGAGAAAGACCCUCCUGGGUCACAGGAAAUGCACAGACAUCGGGAACGGACAGAGGAAGGACGUGCAGUUGCAGCCUUUUCAGCAGACGCCCUGAGAACCGGAGGUCGGGAGUUGGAGCAAACGAUCAGUUCUGGAGGUAUACUGUCAUUAAGAAAGCAAUGUAUCCAGAUCAUUCAGAAUCUAUGCCUGCCACAGGGAGCAGGAGGCGAGUGUGAAUGAAGAGCCACAGCAUGGCAGGGGAGCCACUGCAAGGAUGCUGAAACUCAUGUGAACAGAGUUGCUGUAGGUAGGCCACCAUGGAACCUUGUGGGGGAAGCACUGCCUCUUAGGUAUGGCAGUGAAAAUGGGACAAGAGGGCAGCAUUGCCCCCAGAUGGAAGAUGUAGUGCUUUGCCUUGCUCCUUGGUGCAUGGAGAGGGAAAGGGAUGCUGCUAUGAAGUUCCUGGCUGGACUUUGGCUUGAUAAGGCAUGAGAACCUUUGGGAGUAUGAGGGUAGGUGGGUGUGUGCACAUCUUCCAUAAGAAGCUGUUAGUAUUGGGGCAGACGUUUCAAGUAUGGCAGACAAAGGAUGUUCUGCAUGGGGAAAUGUGGUGACACCCGUUUCACAAGGACAGCUCACAUAGGUGAGUGUUCAGGAAGGACCGGCACCAUACCCAGUGCCUGAUGUGUAUCAUCUCAUUGAGUCCUUGCCUCAGAUGCAAAAGGAAGCCAUCACCACCAUCAUCAUCACCACCAUCAUCCUCCUCCUCCUGUGCAGAUGGAGAGGCUGAGGCAUAGCGAGGUGACGGAGUCUGCCCAGGGCUGCAGGCCAGCUGGUGGCACAGCCGGGUUCCAAUGGAAUGAAGGUUGUCAUCCUCAGAUGGCAGGGUAGGCAGGUGGCUAGAGCUCACUUGGGAGAAGGGGAAAGGACACUGACUUUGGCUAGGGAUGGAGCAGGGCUUGGGCUGGCUUUCCAUGCACAGGCAGCUGGCGAGGCUCAUGGCUGUGCUCCAGACCCGGGUGUGGACAAUGAAUCUUCCAGGUCUACCCUAGGCAAUGGGUUUGGACAGCACUGCGAUGGAGAGAAGACACUCUGUCCUGCA